rnacentral:rRNA from 1 species
GGUUUGAUCAUGGCUCAGAUUGAACGCUGGCGGGAUGCUUUACACAUGCAAGUCGAAUGCAGCAGCACGGGACUUAUUCAGGCGAGUACGAAGGCGCUGGUGAGUAAUGUAUCGGAACGUGCCUAGUAGCGGGGGAGAGAUUACGCGAAAGCGUAGCUAAUACCGCAUACCUUCGGGGGAAAGUGGGGACCUUCGGGGCCUCACCGCUAGAGCUGAUAUCGGAUUAGCUAGGUUGGUGGGGUAACGGCUCACCAAGGCGACGAUCCGUAGCUGGUCGGAGAGACGACCAGCCACACUGGGACUGAGACACGGCCCGACUCCUACGGGAGGCGCAGUGGGGAAUUUUGGACAAUGGGGGAAACCCCGAUCCAGCCAUCCUGGGCGUGUGUGCGAUGAGAAGGCCUUCGGGUUAAAGAAUUUCGGCAGGAAGAAACGGCACGGGAUAAUACCCCGUGCAACUGACGGUACCUGCAGAAUAAGCACCGGCUAACUACGUGCCAGCAGCCGCGGUAAUACGUAGGGGUGCAAGCGUUAAUCGGAAUUACUGGGCGCAAGCGUGCGCAGGCGGCCUCGGAAAGAAAGAUGUGAAAUCCCAGAGCUUAACUUUAACCGCAUUUGAACCUACUGAGCUAGAGUGUGUCAGAGGGAGGUGGAAUUCCGCGUGUAGCAGUGAAAUGCGUAGAUAUGCGGAGGAACACCAACGGAGAAGCAGCCUCCGGGAUAACACUGACGCUCAUGCACGAAAGCGUGGGGAGCAAACAGGAUUAGAUACCCGGUAGUCCACGCCCUAACGAUGUCAACUAGCUGUUGGGGCCUUCGGGCCUUGUAGCGCAGCUAACGCGUGAAGUUGACCGCCUGGGGAGUACGGUCGCAAGAUUAAAACUCAAAGAAUUGACGGGGACUCCGCACAAGCGGUGGAUGAUGUGGAUUAAUUCGAUGCAACGCGAAACCUUACCUACCCUUGACAUGUCUGGAAUCCCGAAGAGAUUUGGAGCGCUCGCAAGAGAACCGGAACACAGGUGCUGCAUGGCUGUCGUCAGCUCGUGUAGUCGUGAGAUGUUGGGUUAAGUCCCGCAACGAGGCAACCCUUGUCAUUAGUUGUCACGAAAGGGCACUCGAGCGAUCAUGGUGACAAACCGGAGGAAGGUGGGGAUGACGUCAAGUCCUCAUGGCCCUUAUGGGUAGGGCUUCACAUCAUCGUCAAGGCACAAUGGUCGGGACAGAGGGUCGCCAACCCGCGAGGGGGAGCCAAUCCCAGAAACCUGAUCAGUCCGAUCGCAGUCUGCAAAUCGACUUGCGCAAGCCGGAAUCGCUAGUAAUCGCGGAUCAGCAUGUCGCGGUGAAUACGUCUCCUGGUCUUGUACACACCGCCCGUCACACCAUGGGAGUGGGUUUUACCAGAAGUAGUUAGCCCAACCGUAAAGGAGGCGAUUACCACGGUAGGAUCAUGAUCGGGGUGAAAUGCACACAGCCCC